GGUACGUACCCUCUUCUGCGGAAUAGCCACUGGUAAACGGUGAGUAAUACCGCAUACGCCCUUCGGGGGAAAGAUUUAUCGGAGGAGGAUCGG
rnacentral:rRNA from 1 species